rnacentral:tRNA from 1 species
AAGUUUAGGUUAAACAAACCAGGGGCCUUCAAAGCCCCAAACAAGAAUAACUCAACCCUCUUAACUUCU